UGCAGGACUUGGACUCCAGACCCCACAUCUGGCAGGCAGGACAUCCAGCUUGCCUUCCCCAAGAGAGGCAUGCAGUGUACAGAGCGGCUUUCAGCGUGCUCCAGUUCCUUGCAGGCCGGCAGUGGGGAGGCAAACUAUUCAAUUCUACAUCUUCCUCCUGGAGGCCUGGAGACUGGAGCAGUACGGUAGGAGCCAAUGGGAUGAAAAUGUCCCACAAGUUUAGCAGGUAGUGUCACUCUCACUGAACUGAACUUUCAUCCCCUUUUUUAGUGCUACUCAAAUGCGCUCUUUAGGAGUGUUGAGUUUCAGAGAACAUCACAGAAGUUAACUUCAUGCUGCUUUCAGAAAGACUGAUGGUAGAGGCUUGCUUGUCAUCACAUUGUCAUCUUGUCCAAAGAGACUGGAUCGCAAUAAGUUAAAGCUCUGGUGUGACACAGUAAAGACUUAAGUGUAUGCUUCUAAGAACAACCUCUUGCUAUAAUCCUAUAAGAUGACUAAGAUGGAUGAGGAAGGCUUAGGUUUGAGUCAAUCUUUGGGUCCUUUUCAUGCCUUUAAUUC
rnacentral:lncRNA from 1 species